GCUAUCUAAUUCUAUCCAUUAAUCCUAAUUCCUAAGUCCAACUCGUCUGCUGACUCUCCUCUAACUCUAACACUAACUUCAACCCUAAUGCCUCCUUCUCUCAUCUCCUCUCCUCCUCAGUCCUCACGCCUAACUUAACAGUCCUCACACGAUCCACACUGCUCUGUCCAAGUUCCAACGACGGCAGGACUCAAGCACCUUACACCAAGGGACUAUUUGCUUUCCUUUAUCCCUUUUCAGGGCAUCUUUAGAUGAUGGAUGAAAGUCAUGAAACUGAUAGCGUACCUAAUACAGAUGAUGGCUACUGUUUUUUGUAUUAGUGAUGGAUCAGCAGCCAGCCAAUCCAUGGAACCUAUGCAGUAUGCAGCAAGUGCAAGAAGCUAAAUGUGUUGUAAGGAUAAUUCCUAUUUGGGCUGCAGCAAUUAUAUACCAUAUUGCAAUAAUUCAGCAGCUUGAGUAUUUGUUGAACUGCUUAUCACUGUGGGCUGCUGCUACUGAUUUUUGUAUCUACGACUGCUACUGAUUUUUGUGCCAACUUGGCUGCUGCUACUGAUUUUCGCUGCUGCUACUUACUUGGCUACUGCUAUUUUUCCUUGGCUA